UAGUCUCGCACAGAUGCAUAUCAAUAAGCGGAGGAAAAGAAACUAACAAGGAUUCCCUUAGUAACGGCGAGUGAAGCGGGAAGAGCUCGAAUUUGAAAUCUUCAAGGUUUUACCUUGACGAAUUGUAGUUUAAAGAAGUGUUUUCUGCUGAAGUUUUGGUAAAAGUUCUUUGGAAUAGGACAUCAUAGAGGGUGAGAAUCCCGUAUUUGACCAUUAUUUUCAGCUGUGUGAUACACUUUCAAAGAGUCGGAUUGUUUGGGAAUGCAGUCCAAAAUGGGUGGUAAAUUUCAUCUAAAGCUAAAUAUUGGCGAGAGACCGAUAGCGAACAAGUACCGUGAGGGAAAGAUGAAAAGAACUUUGAAAAGAGAGUUAAAUAGUACGUGAAAUUGUCAAAAGGGAAGCGUUUAACACCAGUGUUGUUUUCUGAAAAUCAACCUCUGUUAGCUUUAUGCAUGUUUGUUUAGACCUAAUCAGCUAUCUUGCAUGUUCUAUUGUUUGCAGUGGUGCACUUUUCAGUUUACAGGUCAACAUCAGUUUUUUUUACCGUAAAAAAGUUAAAGAAAGGUAGCUCAUGGCUCCGGUCGUGAGUGUUAUAGUCUUUUUCCUAUGCGGUAGGAGAGACUGAGGUCUGCAGUGUAGGCUAUUUGGCUAGAUACUCAGGUGCUAUGUGAUACCAUUUCAUAAACAACUUGUUGAUUAUGUUUUGUCUAUUGCAUACUCGCUUGUACUAUCAUACCUACGCUUAGGAUGUUGAAGAUGUAGCACAUCAU
rnacentral:rRNA from 1 species